rnacentral:rRNA from 1 species
AUUGAACGCUGGCGGCAGGCCUAACACAUGCAAGUCGAGCGGAUGAAGGGUGAUUGCUCCUGGAUUCAGCGGCGGACGGGUGAGUAAUGCAUAGGAAUCUGCCUGGUAGUGGGGGAUAAGGUCAGGAAGCGGGCGCUAAUACCGCAUUGGUCCUGAGGGAGAACGGGGGGGAUCUUGGGAUCUCACGCUAUCAGGUGAGUCUAGGUGGUAUUGGCUAGUUGGUGGGGUAAAGGCCUACCAAGGAGACGAUCCGUAACUGGUCUGAGAGGAUGAUCGCUCACACUGUAACUGAGACACGGUCCAGACUCCUACGGGAGGCAGCAGUGGGGAAUAUUGGACAAUGGGCGAAAGCCUGAUCCAGCCAUCCCGCGUGUGUGAAGAAGGUCUUCGGAUUGUAAAGCACUUUAAGUGGGGAAGAAAUGCAGAAGUUAAUACCUUGCUGUUUUGACGUUACCAACAGGAAAAGCACCGGCCAACUUCAUG